AUCCAUUCAUUUUGGAUCAAGUGCCAUUUUCCUACUCUUUAAAGGUCUCAUUAUUUUAGUUUAUUGCCUUGAUAAACUUGAUUCUCUAAUGUAUAUUAACGGGCUGCUGUUGAAUGAGUCUUUAUUUCACAAACAAAUAGCUCUUUUUAAGUGAAAACACUCAAUGUAUAUUAACGGGCUGCUGUUGAAUGAAUCUUUAUUUCACAAACAAAUAGCCCUUUUAAGUGAAAACACUGCAUUAGAUCUAUCAGAUCUUUACUUAAGCAUGAUAUCGAUUUAAGAAAUGUCAGAGCAAUUGGCGUGCUGGCGCUAAUGGUUAGUGAAUGGUGGCUAUAAUUGAUUUAACAUAAUGUAAUAUAGGUAUGAAGAACAACUUUUAUAACUUGG
rnacentral:lncRNA from 1 species